CAUAUCUCCUUUAUUAUAAGGUCAAAUAGAGUGAUUCAAAAGCCUAACUUGACUGGAAUUUCACAAGAAAUCUAUUAGAGGCAUCAAAAGUAAGUUUCAGGAUCGUUUGGCAUGAGAAAUGAGGCAGAACAUUUGGGCGGAAGCAUAUAAAUCAAGGGUUUGUUCAUUUGGUCAUAUUUUGAGUUGGGGAGCUCGGAUUUGGACGGUUUUUGAAGUAAUUUUAACCACAUAGAUUGAGUUUCGAGCCGUUCAGAGGGAAGUACGCGUGAGAUGGCAUAUCUGGAGCAUCGUCUGGCUUGCUCGGUGUUGGAUUUGGCUUGUUCGAGAUUUUGGAUGUUGAUAUUGCUGUGUAUAAAGGAAGCUAGC